GAAUGAAACGCCUAGCUACAGGCCUUAACACAUGCAAGUCGAGGGGCAGCAUGGUCUUAGCUUGCUAAGGCCGAUGGCGACCGGCGCACGGGUGAGUAACACGUAUCCAACCUGCCGUCUACUCUUGGACAGCCUUCUGAAAGGAAGAUUAAUACAAGAUGGCAUCAUGAGUCCGCAUGUUCACAUGAUUAAAGGUAUUCCGGUAGACGAUGGGGAUGCGUUCCAUUAGAUAGUAGGCGGGGUAACGGCCCACCUAGUCUUCGAUGGAUAGGGGUUCUGAGAGGAAGGUCCCCCACAUUGGAACUGAGACACGGUCCAAACUCCUACGGGAGGCAGCAGUGAGGAAUAUUGGUCAAUGGGCGAGAGCCUGAACCAGCCAAGUAGCGUGAAGGAUGACUGCCCUAUGGGUUGUAAACUUCUUUUAUAAAGGAAUAAAGUCGGGUAUGGAUACCCGUUUGCAUGUACUUUAUGAAUAAGGAUCGGCUAACUCCGUGCCAGCAGCCGCGGUAAUACGGAGGAUCCGAGCGUUAUCCGGAUUUAUUGGGUCUAAAGGGAGCGUAGAUGGAUGUUUAAGUCAGUUGUGAAAGUUUGCGGCUCAACCGUAAAAUUGCAGUUGAUACUGGAUAUCUUGAGUGCAGUUGAGGCAGGCGGAAUUCGUGGUGUAGCGGUGAAAUGCUUAGAUAUCACGAAGAACUCCGAUUGCGAAGGCAGCCUGCUAAGCUGCAACUGACAUUGAGGCUCGAAAGUGUGGGUAUCAAACAGGAUUAGAUACCCUGGUAGUCCACACGGUAAACGAUGAAUACUCGCUGUUUGCGAUAUACUGCAAGCGGCCAAGCGAAAGCGUUAAGUAUUCCACCUGGGGAGUACGCCGGCAACGGUGAAACUCAAAGGAAUUGACGGGGGCCCGCACAAGCGGAGGAACAUGUGGUUUAAUUCGAUGAUACGCGAGGAACCUUACCCGGGCUUAAAUUGCAGAUGAAUUACGGUGAAAGCCGUAAGCCGCAAGGCAUCUGUGAAGGUGCUGCAUGGUUGUCGUCAGCUCGUGCCGUGAGGUGUCGGCUUAAGUGCCAUAACGAGCGCAACCCUUGUUGUCAGUUACUAACAGGUUCCGCUGAGGACUCUGACAAGACUGCCAUCGUAAGAUGUGAGGAAGGUGGGGAUGACGUCAAAUCAGCACGGCCCUUACGUCCGGGGCUACACACGUGUUACAAUGGGGGGUACAGAGGGCCGCUACCACGCGAGUGGAUGCCAAUCCCCAAAACCUCUCUCAGUUCGGACUGGAGUCUGCAACCCGACUCCACGAAGCUGGAUUCGCUAGUAAUCGCGCAUCAGCCACGGCGCGGUGAAUACGUUCCCGGGCCU
rnacentral:rRNA from 1 species